rnacentral:rRNA from 1 species
AUUGAACGCUGGCGGCAUGCUUUACACAUGCAAGUCGAACGGCAGCACGGGCUUCGGCCUGGUGGCGAGUGGCGAACGGGUGAGUAAUAUAUCGGAACGUACCCAGAAGUGGGGGAUAACGUAGCGAAAGUUACGCUAAUACCGCAUACGAUCUAUGGAUGAAAGCAGGGGACCGCAAGGCCUUGUGCUCCUGGAGCGGCCGAUAUCUGAUUAGCUAGUUGGUGAGGUAAAGGCUCACCAAGGCGACGAUCAGUAGCUGGUCUGAGAGGACGACCAGCCACACUGGAACUGAGACACGGUCCAGACUCCUACGGGAGGCAGCAGUGGGGAAUUUUGGACAAUGGGCGCAAGCCUGAUCCAGCAAUGCCGCGUGAGUGAAGAAGGCCUUCGGGUUGUAAAGCCCUUUUGUCAGGGAAGAAACGGUAGAGGCUAAUAUCCUGUGCUAAUGACGGUACCUGAAGAAUAAGCACCGGCUAACUACGUG